UGGUGGAAUUCCCGAGUGGCCAAAGGGGGCAGACUGUAAAUCUGUUGUCGGACGACUUCGAAGGUUCGAAUCCUUCUUCCACCACCAA
rnacentral:tRNA from 6 species